rnacentral:ncRNA from 2 species
CGAGUAGAUAGAGGUGGGCCUGACAAGAGUAAAUAAGAUGAGGUAUAAGAGAUAUCGUUGAUUCUUAUUGAAAGGGGAUGGCCCCGAAGGGUGAAUUUUCUCUUAAAUUCAUACCUGGUUUACGUAUUAACAGUACGUGGACUGUCACCUAUUUGGUGGAGAGCUAUCGUUUUG